GGAAGCGGUCGUUGCCAUGGAUCCUGGGGACGACUGGCUGGUGGAAUCCUUGCGCUUGUAAAUCGUACCAGGAUUUCUAUGCAUUCGACCUGUCAGGAGCCACUCGAGUCCUUGAAUGGAUUGAUGACAAAGGUGGUAUACCUUCCUAGCCCUGAAGGAGAGGGAAUCUCACUCCUGAGCUGGGUUUCAGGAGCUAAGCCUAGAGGGACCCAACCGACUCUUCUGGGCACCUGAGAGUCACUUGUAGCAAUUUGAUGCCCCAUCAGCACUAAUAUUCCUCUUAUUAAGAUCUCUGACCAGGAGCAGUGGUUCACGCCUGUAAUCCCAGCACUUUGGGAGGCCGAGGCAGGCGGAUCACCUGAGGUCAGGAGUUCGAGACCAGUCUGGCCAACAUGGUGAAACCCCGUCUCUACUGAAAAUACAAAAAUUAGCCGGACGAGGUGGUGCACACUUGUGUACCAGCAGCUACUGGGGAGGCUGAGGCAGGAGAAUCACUUGAACCCAGGAGGUGGAGGUUGCAGUGAGCUGAGAUCACGACACUGUAUUCCAGCGUGGCUAACAAAAAAAGUCUUCAGGCUGGGC
rnacentral:sRNA from 1 species